rnacentral:rRNA from 1 species
UACGGGGGGGAGCAAGCGUUGUUCGGAUUUACUGGGCGUAAAGGGCGCGUAGGCGGCCACCGCAAGUCGAUUGUGAAAUCUCCGGGCUUAACCCGGAAAGGUCAACCGAUACUGCGGGGCUAGAGUGCAGAAGGGGCAACUGGAAUUCUCGGUGUAGCGGUGAAAUGCGUAGAUAUCGAGAGGAACACCUGCGGCGAAGGCGGGUUGCUGGGCUGACACUGACGCUGAGGAGCGAAAGCGUGGGGAGCGAACAGG